UCUGACUCAGAUUUCAGUUGGUGUUUGUGUGUAUCUAUCACCACAAGUGGUGCGAAGCAGAGCGCUGCAACUAAAGCAGGAGGUCCCCCACCACCCAAACAACCAAAGCUGGACUUCGGUGCAAAACCAGUAAGUGGGGGAGAGUUGAAGCCGUUGGUCGGGCAGUAUGUUGGACUCAUUUUUGUGUUGAGGCGGCAGGGGGGGUGUUGUCGGCAGCUGCUGAAUGUAACUAAUAAAGUAACUUGUAAUCCUCUAAUGAAGUUUGCAAACUGUUUCGUAAGUCAAACAGGUUAUAAUAACUUCACUGCAUCUAUUUUAUAUUGCUGGUAAAACGUCUCCUUCAAACAGAAUGAUUUAUUCAAGUUUUGAUCAAAACUUCAUCAUAUUCCAACUACAUGCUGAUGAGCGGGGACAUAACAUGGAUUGGGGGGUCGUCCAGGAUCUCUCUCUGGUGGGUAAGACUAAGCAAGGAGCUCAGUUUAGAGACGUGUCUUUAGUUUAUUUUAGUUAAGAAUUGUAGGGUUCGUAAAGCCAAGCUUUUUUUGUUGUUUUUGGGCAACGCUCACCUCUGAAGUUUAAAUGAACUGCUGCAGUGGGGAUUUACAGGGUCUCGCUGACCUCAAUCACGAGUGGGAAGAGUGCAGGGUGGCACAGCAUGUUGGGAGCAUAACUAAAGUUAUAAUUAAGAUUCACACACCACUGUUUUUACUUAAAAGAAUCAGGUAAAGUUAUACACUGCAUUAACGGCACUGCUAAUUGCUAAAUGCUAUUUAUUUUAAAGUUUUAAUUGUGACAUUUCCUUUUAAUUGGUUAUUUAAUAAUUGUAUCUUUAUUAAAAAUAUUAUUAUUACACUCUUAAUACUGUUGAAUCCAGACUGUUCAUAUGUCACACUGCAGUGUAACUUUUACUCAUGGAUUUUAUACCUGUUGUGUUUAUUUUACAAUCUUUGCUUUUUAACUACUGUUUUUAAAUGCCAUUUUAUAAUGCGUUUCCGCUGCAUUUUUUCAUAAUGUCUUUUAUUUUUUGUAAUGCACUUUGAAUUGCCGUGUUGAAAGGUGCUAUAUAAAUAAUCUUCGCCUUGCCUUACACUUUUAUGAUAAUCAUUGUUAUUUUAUUAUACAUCUUUUUAUUUUAUAGGUUUUUAUGUUUUAUUGAAUCUUUUAUUUUUGUCUUAUGUCUGCCUUCAUGUUUCUGAGAGGAAUCAUUGUUUAUUCUAUCGUAUUGAAAUGUGUAUCACACCUUUUACCUCCUGUGUCUCUCAAACUGUUGUAUCUUACUGUCUGAUGUGAGGAGAAUUUGUUGUUCUGUUUUAAUUUGUAAUGUAUGCCAAUUUGUCAAAGCACCUGGUGUAUGAAAUGUGCGAUAUAAAUAAAGCUUUAUUAUUAUUAUUA